GGGUUUACGGGAGGCAGCANUGGGGAAUCUUGGACAAUGGGCGCAAGCCUGAUCCAGCCAUGCCGCGUGAGUGAUGAAGGCCUUAGGGUCGUAAAGCUCUUUCGCCAGAGAUGAUAAUGACAGUAUCUGGUAAAGAAACCCCGGCUAACNCNGUGCCAGCAGCCGCGGUAAUACGGAGGGGGUUAGCGUUGUUCGGAAUUACUGGGCGUAAAGCGCACGUAGGCGGAUCAGAAAGUAUAGGGUGAAAUCCCAGGGCUCAACCCUGGAACUGCCUUAUAAACUCCUGGUCUUGAGUUCGAGAGAGGUGAGUGGAAUUCCGAGUGUAGAGGUGAAAUUCGUAGAUAUUCGGAGGAACACCAGUGGCGAAGGCGGCUCACUGGCUCGAUACUGACGCUGAGGUGCGAAAGUGUGGGGAGCAAACAGGAUUAGA
rnacentral:rRNA from 1 species